UUUUGUGGAUUAAUGGUCAUAGUUGUACUUAAUAUGUGUUGUGAAUCUUAUUUCGAUCUAACAGUUGAAUUGAGGAUUAUUGAGGUUUAAGUGGGUCAAGGUCUCAAAAAGUAGAAUUUUAGGUCUAGUGAGGAUUUUUAAGAUUUCUUGCAAUCUACUGGUUGGAUUGGAAUGAAAUUUAUGUGAGAAGAUAUUAAACUUGUUUUCUUAUGUGUAAAAAUUUUGAAAUCAAUAAAAUAAUAAAAAAGAGAGAUAUUGGCUCUGGAAGAUUGGCAUUAAGGUCAAAGAAGGACUCUAGCCAAUAUUCAAGCACGUUUUUGAGGCUAUCGUCUAUUUGAUAAUUCCGAUCCUUUUCAAUUUUUUUGUGCUUGUUGUAAACUUAAUUGUUAAAAAGCAUGAAAAUUUUGAGUUAAGACUAAUGGUUCAUUCACUAGUAAUUGAGGUAUAAAUCUGUUGUAGGAAUUACUAAGAUUUGAUUUAGGGUUUAGGAUUUGAUUUAGGAUUUGAUUAGGGUUUGAUUUAGGGUUAGGAUUUGGUUAAGAUUUGGUUAGAGUUUGAUUUAGGAUUAAGAUUUGGUUUAGGAUUUAAGAUUUGGUUAGGGCUAGAUUUAGGAUUAAGAUUUGGUUUAGGGUUUAGGAUUUAGUUAGGACUAGAUUUAGGAUUAAGAUUUGGUUAGGAUUUGAUUUAGGAUUUAGGAUUUGAUUUAGGAUUGAUUAGAAUUCGAUUUAGGAUUAGGAUUUGAUUUAGGAUUUAUGGUUUAAUUAGAGUUUGAUUUAAGAUUAGGAUUUGAUUUAGAAUUUAGGAUUUAAUUAGGAUUUGAUUUAGGAUUUAAGGUUUUAUUUAAAUUUAUUUAAGAUUUAAUAUUUAAUUCAUUUUUGGCCUAAAGUUUGAAUGAAGUCCAUUAGAAUUUUAACUAGGAUUAUAUUAAGAUUGAAUUGAGAUGUAUUUGAGAUAUAUUUGGGAUCAUUCUAAUAUUUUUUUUAAGAUUUCUUAUUAUUUCUUUAUAAUUACUUUAAGAUUUCUUUGAAUUUGAUUAAAGCUUGCUUAGCAUUGUUAUGGUCUAAUUAGAGUUUAGUUAGUAUUCUAUUAGAGUUAGGAUUUUGUUGUUGUAAU
rnacentral:lncRNA from 1 species